CCUACGGGAGGCAGCAGUGAGGAAUAUUGGUCAAUGGACGCAAGUCUGAACCAGCCAUGCCGCGUGCAGGAAGACGGCUCUAUGAGUUGUAAACUGCUUUUGUACGAGGGUAAACGCAGAUACGCGUAUCUGUCUGAAAGUAUCGUACGAAUAAGGCUCGGCUAACUCCGUGCCAGCAGCCGCGGUAAUACGGAGGAUUCAAGCGUUAUCCGGAUUUAUUGGGUUUAAAGGGUGCGUAGGCGGUCGGAUAAGUUAGAGGUGAAAUCCCGAGGCUCAACUUCGGAAUUGCCUCUGAUACUGUCCGGCUAGAGAGUAGUUGCGGUAGGCGGAAUGUAUGGUGUAGCGGUGAAAUGCUUAGAGAUCAUACAGAACACCGAUUGCGAAGGCAGCGUACUAAGCUACUUCUGACGUUGAGGCACGAAAGCGUGGGGAGCAAACAGGAUUAGAUACCCCUGUAGUC
rnacentral:rRNA from 1 species